AGGAAGGUUACAAUGGAUGAAUAAUACACAAUAUAUUGCUUGAUCAUAACAGCUAGAUUUAAUUGCGUUUAACAUUAGAAAAAUAAAGGCACGGAAAACUUUCAAUACUCAUUAUUAGGCUAUAAAUUUGAUAGAAGGGACAGGAAUAUUCAUGGUGGAGGACUAGCCUCCUUUGUGAGAUCAGACAUACCAUCAAGGAGAAGAAAAGAUCUUGAGUGUAAAAACAUUGAAAACCUAGUUUAUGAGGAACCCUUAACAAAAGUCCCUCAAGUUAAGACAACAACAUAUGGAGCCGAAAGCAAAACAGAGAAGAAUGGUUUUAGCUUUAAUGCUUGUGAUAUGGGUGAUAACUGGAACGAAGUAUGGUAAUUAUCAUUUUUGUUUUAAAUAUUGCGAUCUUGUAGAUUUCAGCUAAUGCUUAUACAUAUUUUUAAGCAAAACUUAAAAUAACCUACUGUAAAAUGAUUGAACGUUAAAGAUAUUGGGCAG